rnacentral:lncRNA from 1 species
AUUGGUCUGCGGUGUUGCAUCUUGUGUCUAUAAAAUGAGCUGCUUGUAAUGCGUAGAUAAUCCUUUAUAUUGCAAUUUUUUUCAAGACAUAACAUUAGCUAUGGAGAACUGCAAAUAUGUUGCUACUGCUCUCAAGAAAAUUGCUAACCUGAAUUUAUCAGGCGCUAUCGACAAAGCAUCAAUCAGUAGAAGACGCCUGACUCCAAUCCACCAGUCAUACAGUCAUCAAAAAGAGAGCUGGCCCAGCAGCGCAGUCAUCAACAACAUGCACCAUUUCUUCACCAACUACGGUGUUGGGAAAACACAUGUGGGUGUAACAGUAUAGCUUCCGUCCCUCUCCUCGCCCCAACCUGGGCUUGAACCAGGGACCCUCUGCGCACAUCAACAACUGACACCCACGAAGCAUCGUUACCCAUCGCGCCACAAAAGCCGCGGCCCUUGCAGCGCAAGGGGAACAACUACUUAAGGUCGCAGAGCGAGUGACGUCACCGAUUGAAACGCAACUAGCGCGCACCACCGCUAACUAGCUAGCCAUUUCACAUCGGUUACAUGGGCCUGAAUUGUGAUAACUGCAGUCGCCAAAACAAGAACAAGUUUGUGCUCUGGUAUUGUGCCUGGUGGACCAUGCACAAGCUCCACCACAAUCUGGACCUUCACUUCCUGAUCACAGGCCACACCAAGUUUGCCCCUGACUGGUGCUUUGGCCUCAUCAAGCAGCGCUUCAGAAAGACCAGAGUGAACACUUUGUCUGAGAUUGCUGGUGUUGUGAAGGACAGCACUGUGACAGGGGUCAACAUCCCACAACUGGUUGGACUGGAAGAUGGUACAGUGCUGGUGGAAAGCAAUGGCUGGCAACAACACCUGACUCCGUACUUCAGGCCACUGCCACAGAUCAAGCAAUACCAGCACUUCAGCUUCGAUGCUCUGGAGCCUGGUGUUGUCGCCAAGGAGCAUUCGGACUGUCAGGACCAGGUUUCAGCUGCUGUGCAAUGCUGACAUCCUUCCUCCCACUGCCUGUAAAAGCUCCACCUGGACUGGACACAACUAGACAAACUAUAUUUUUGACAAGAUCAGGGAGUUAUGUGACAAAGAGGCUAUGGACAUCACAUGCCCUGCACCAAAGUCAAGGGCAGGACAGAAACAGGCUUUCCGAAUAUAGAUUUCUUUGUUCAUGUGUGGUUUGGAUGGAACAGUCAUCAGCACUAUCUGCAGUGCCUCUAUUUACAUGACUCUCUCCUAACACACACACCAUACGUUGCUGUUACUAUUUUUUUUUAUCCUGCUGCUCAGCCACUUUAACCCUGUUUGUAUGCAUACAACUACCUCGUCUAUCACUAUCGUUAUUGAUAUUGUUAUUGUACAUACUGUAUAUUUUAUUUAUAUUGACACCAUCUAUUUCUGAUAUUGCUAUUAUGCAAGUAACCAUUUGGCUUUACCGUUUACACCUUCUGUAGAGACGAUCCACUUAGCAAAAUAUUGAUAUAUCAUUUAUAUUCAUAUGUGUGGUCAUAACGUGAUUUUGUGACAUACCACAACAAUAUCAUGUGACCGUAUCAAGUGUCCACCACAUAAAUAUAUGGCGCAUGCAUCUGUUUAUGUACUGUACAUGUGCACCUCACUCAGGUUUCAACUCAGGUUGCAUGGCCUUAACUUAUGUAUGGAAUACUGUGUGAUAAGUGCAUGUGUG